rnacentral:rRNA from 1 species
UAUGGCUCAGGAUGAACGCUGGCGGCGUGCCUAACACAUGCAAGUCGAACGGGGGUACAGACGCUGCGAGAGGAAGUGCUUGCACGGAAUCAAACUGUUGACUAGUGGCGGACGGGUGAGUAACGCGUGGAAAACCUGCCUCAUACAGGGGGAUAACAGGAAGAAAUUCCUGCUAAUACCGCAUGAGCGCACAUUACCGCAUGGUAGAGUGUGAAAAAGAUUUUAUCGGGUAUGAGAUGGUUCCGCGUCUGAUUAGCCAGUUGGCGGGUAACGGCCCACCAAAGCGACGAUCAGUAGCCGGCCUGAGAGGGCGGACGGCCACAUUGGGACUGAGACACGGCCCAGACUCCUACGGGAGGCAGCAGUGGGGGAUAUUGCACAAUGGGGGAAACCCUGAUGCCAGCGACGCCGCGUGGGUGAAGAAGUUAUUCGUAAUGUAAAGCCCUAUCAGCAGGGAAGAUAAUGACGGUACCUGACUAAGAAGCCCCGGCUAACUACGUGCCAGCAGCCGC